CAGCCGCCGCGGUAAUACGAAGGGGGCUAGCGUUGUUCGGAUUUACUGGGCGUAAAGCGCACGUAGGCGGACUUUUAAGUCAGGGGUGAAAUCCCGGGGCUCAACCCCGGAACUGCCUUUGAUACUGGAAGUCUUGAGUAUGGUAGAGGUGAGUGGAAUUCCGAGUGUAGAGGUGAAAUUCGUAGAUAUUCGGAGGAACACCAGUGGCGAAGGCGGCUCACUGGACCAUUACUGACGCUGAGGUGCGAAAGCGUGGGGAGCAAACAGGAUUAGAUACCCGCGUAGUCCCUGUCUCUUAUAC
rnacentral:rRNA from 1 species